rnacentral:rRNA from 1 species
AGGAUGAACGCUGGCGGCGUGCCUAACACAUGCAAGUCGAACGUCCUGUCUCGCAAGAGGCAGGGAGUGGCGGACGGGUGAGUACCACGUGGGUUAUCUACCGUGAGGUGAGGAAUACCGGCGAGAAAUCGCCGACAAGACCGCAUAGCCUCGGUGCAAGCCGAGGAAAGCUUUCUCGAGAGAGGGAGCGCCACACGAGGAGCCUGCGCCCGAUUAGCUAGCUGGUGGAGUAACGGUUCACCAGGGCGACGAUCGGUAGCUGGUCUGAGAGGACGAUCAGCCACACUGGGAUUGAGAACGGCCCAGACUCCUACGGGGGCAGCAGUGAGGAAUUUUCGUCAAUGGGGGCAACCCUGAACGAGCAACGCCGCGUGCAGGAAGAAGGUUUUCGGAUCGUAAACUGCUUUUCUCGGGGAAGAGAACGGACGGUACCCGAGGAAUCAGCCCCGGCUAACUACGUGCCAGCAGCCGC